UGGGGAAUAUUGGACAAUGGGCGAAAGCCUGAUCCAGCCAUGCCGCGUGUGUGAAGAAGGUCUUCGGAUUGUAAAGCACUUUAAGUUGGGAGGAAGGGCAGUUACCUAAUACGUGAUUGUUUUGACGUUACCGACAGAAUAAGCACCGGCUAACUCUGUGCCAGCAGCCGCGGUAAUACAGAGGGUGCAAGCGUUAAUCGGAAUUACUGGGCGUAAAGCGCGCGUAGGUGGUUUGUUAAGUUGGAUGUGAAAUCCCCGGGCUCAACCUGGGAACUGCAUUCAAAACUGACAAGCUAGAGUAUGGUAGAGGGUGGUGGAAUUUCCUGUGUAGCGGUGAAAUGCGUAGAUAUAGGAAGGAACACCAGUGGCGAAGGCGACCACCUGGACUGAUACUGACACUGAGGUGCGAAAGCGUGGGGAGCAAACAGGAUUAGAUACCCAGGUAGUCCCUGAGCGGGCUGGCAAGGC
rnacentral:rRNA from 1 species